CUCGAUAAGGUGAAGAGACGUUGCGGUUUUUGGCAAUCAAAAUCAAUCUACUCUCUAAGAAUGGCAGCUACUACAAGCUGUGUUUGGGUGCCAAAUCGAAGUUCAUUUUUAGGUUCAAGUCAACAUGUUUGGGGUAAUAAGUUAGCGGUAACCAGUAGCAUUUCGAUUACGAGGCCAAUACCAUCCCUAUCGCCUUUCAUGGUUGAAGCCAAAUCCAGAACCAGGAGAGAAGACCGCACUGCCCGCCAUUCUCGUAUCAGGAAGAAGGUUGAUGGUACACCAGAUAGGCCAAGGCUCUGUGUUUUCCGCUCCAACAAGCACCUCUAUGUUCAGGUGGUUGAUGAUACUAAGAUGCACACACUUGCUUCAGCUUCAACUAUGCAGAAACCUAUCUCUGAGGAGUUCAAUUACAGUUCUGGUCCCACCAUUGAAGUUGCAAAGAGAGUAGGUGAAGUAAUUGCAAAGCCCUGUUUGGAGAAAGGGAUCACGAAAGUGGCCUUUGAUCGAGGUGGAUACCUAUACCAUGGAAGUGUAGAAGCCCUGGCUAAUGCAGCUCGGGAGCAUGGCCUUCAAUUUUAAAAAAUACCUUAGGAGAAAUUCUAAGAUGUAAGAGAGCAAGAUAGUGUUAUGGCUGUGGAGCGCCGACAUGGACAUGGUACCACGUCAGAUUACGAGCGAGUAGAUUUCCUUGAAGGUUUAAUGGAGAGCUUGUUGAGUGAGAUUGAGGUUCUGGUUAAAAUAUAUGGUGAUGGAAAGCUUCGUGGUUCAAUCACAAAAGAAUGUUGUCAUUUGCGAAUUCAAGUUCACAGACGGGUUGCAUUUUCAAUAAAGCAGUGAUGUUGGUAAAAGAAGGUUGAUGUGAGAAUUGUGGAGUGAGGGCCUCACGUCAUUGUCAUGGGCAUGCGUACAGGGGAUGAUAAUCUAUUGAUCAUCAUAACGUGCAAAACGUUGUCAUUUGCGAAUUCAAGUUCACAGACGGAUUGCAUUUUCAAUAAAGCAGUGAUGUUGGUAAAAGAAGGUGGUGUGAGAAUUGUGGAGUGAGGGCCUCACGUCAUUGUCAUGGGCAUGCGUACAGGGGAUGAUAAUCUUUUGAUCAUCAUAACGUGCAUUUCACACCAAACUCAUGGGACCGUCAGCAGCUUAUUAUGGGUUAGAUAAGUCAACUAAUUCGACACCAAUCAUUGACAUGGUGGACCCAACAAUUUGUCUUGAGCAUUACAAAGUCGUAAAUAAAUGUAAAGAUUAUCUCUCCUACCCCCAUCCC